AAACUUCUCCCUUCCUUCGGAAGUAUCUCAGUUGAGCUUUGAACUUUUGCACCUUGGAGUUCAGCAUCUGGAGAAAGAGAAAUCAAGAAUCAACGUCUUCUGGAGACAUACAACAGCACUUAAUAAAGAAAUACCUUUCGUUUUUUUACCAAAUGCUGAUAAUGGCAAGUCGCUCUCACUGUCGGAAUCCGUUGAACUGGCAUCACUAUCCCCAUCCACAGCCAGUACAACUCCUUGCCACGGAGACGAACCUGGCCAUGGCAUGAAAACACAAGAGCCUCUUUGGAGAUGGCCUUCAUACUUCAAGUCCUUUUCAGAGACCACAUUUUUGGAGCCGUCAGCCUUCCAUCUCACAAGUACAUCGGUGUCUCCAGUGUAGAUAUUAUCGCGUGUUAACCCCUUUGGCAUAAUCCUAGAAUACAAGUUGAUAAUAAUUUAUUUUAAGUCAUGGUGUGCAAAGGGGAUACGAUUCGUUAACAAUGUUUUAAAGACAGAUGGAAAGUGUCUCUCAUAUUUUGAUUUUCAACAUAAAUACAAUGUACAAGUAAAAUUUAUUUUAUAUCAUGGAUUAUGUAACACUAUUUGAUUCAGUUAUGACAAAAAUGUCAAACCUGAGCUCAUGGUAGCUACAUAUAUUCUCCCCGAAGCAUUGUUUUAAUACUGAAAGUGCAAAAAGGUUGUGCACAUAUCUACUAGUCUUUCUUGAAACAUGAAAUCAAGAAAUGUAAAAGACUUUCAAAAAGUAAACAGGAGUUUGAUCUUGACAAUAUUAUUUAGAGUUCUAUUUACCUAAUCCCCUUUCUUUUGUCAAUAUAAACAUGAGGUGGUUUCAGUUUAAAUUGCUGAUUAGAAUUCUUUAUGUGAAAGAUGCUUUAUAAAGAUCCAAAUUAGUAACAGAUAAGCUAUGUUCAUUUCAUAAUAGCAGCAAAGAAACAAUUAUAAAUAUAUUUUGUUCCUGUGUAUAUUCAAAUGAAAUAUGGUCAAAUCUUGAGCCUUGGCCGUCCCGCAAUAUUAUUCACAUUCACCUUACAUAUAAGAAUAAAAUGUUUGGCUUUUAUGAUGUAAUAACAGUGCUUUCAAUUGUAUCAUGAUUUUAGAAAGGAAAAAAAAAGUUGGCAGCCAAAUGCAAAAAUUGUUUGCCCGUUUUUGAACGGGGGAAAAAAAAUCAUAAAAUGUUAUUAUGAUAUGGGAAAGAAUAUUUGUAAAACAAAUUUAUAAAAAAAAGAAAAUAAAAAAACAAAGUGGUAAAACCUUAUUGAAUGCUUCUCAUUCUCAUUGUGGUUUUUUUUCUCAUGGAAUUAUUUGUCAAGUUAUUUUGUGUCACUUAGGAAAGAAUUUACAAUAUGUAAUUGAUUUUUCUAAUGGUUUGUUCUUAUUUUAUUUAGAAUGGCCAAGAAUAUCAUUGAAAUUUUGCAUGUAUCUAUGUGAUAUUAUUUAAUAAAAAAGGGGAAGUGGAAUCUGUUUCUCUAUGUAUACUGCAACGGAAUUUAAAAAAAAGGCUCAUACCCACAUAGGAUGUAAAAUGUAAUACUAAAUAAUCAUAUAGGUUUUUUUUUCCUUUUGUGCUAAAGAUAUAAAUUAUAGUUUUUAGAUUUUUUUGGGGGGGCUUGACAACAUACCAGAAAUUAACAACAAAUAAAAGAUAAUAAGCCAUUGACUUCAUAUUCGUGAUAUGGUAUCCGUCGUUUAAAAGGAGAUGGGAAAAUAUCAAUUUUACUACAAAGUUAUAUCACCUUGAUUUCAUUCCCGAUAAGUGGUACCUGCCUGCAGGACAAAAAUUUUCAGAGCCCCUGUAGUCAAAACCUAUAUUAGAUUUGAAAAGGAAAAAAAAACUCAUCAAACUCUUUAAAGGGGUCUACAGA